rnacentral:rRNA from 1 species
UACGGAGGGUGCAAGCGUUAAUCGGAAUUACUGGGCGUAAAGCGUGCGCAGGCGGUUUGUUAAGUCUGCUGUGAAAUCCCCGAGCUCAACUUGGGAAUUGCAGUGGAUACUGGCAGGCUGGAGUAUGGUAGAGGAAGGUGGAAUUCCCGGUGUAGCAGUGAAAUGCGUAGAGAUCGGGAGGAACAUCAGUGGCGAAGGCGGCCAUCUGGGACAACACUGACGCUGAAGCACGAAAGCGUGGGGAGCAAACAGG